ACUACGGGGGGCAGCAGUGGGGAAUAUUGAGCAAUGGGCGCAAGCCUGACCCAGCAACGCCGCGUGAAGGAAGAAGGCUUUCGGGUUGUAAACUUCUUUUCUCAGGGACGAAGCAAGUGACGGUACCUGAGGAAUAAGCCACGGCUAACUACGUGCCAGCAGCCGCGGUAAUACGUAGGUGGCAAGCGUUAUCCGGAUUUACUGGGUGUAAAGGGCGUGUAGGCGGGAAAGCAAGUCAGAUGUGAAAACCAUGGGCUCAACCUGUGGCCUGCAUUUGAAACUGUUUUUCUUGAGUACUGGAGAGGCAGACGGAAUUCCUAGUGUAGCGGUGAAAUGCGUAGAUAUUAGGAGGAACACCAGUGGCGAAGGCGGUCUGCUGGACAGCAACUGACGCUGAGGCGCGAAAGCGUGGGGAGCAAACAGGAUUAGAUACCCGUGUAGUC
rnacentral:rRNA from 1 species